UAUUUUGAUGAUGUUUAAAAAAUAUUUUUGUUUUUCCAAGAUGGUCCAUGCAGAAACUAUUUGGAGAGCUGAACUAUAUAAAG